ensembl:lncRNA
CGAAGAGUAAGGCUGCUGCAGGCAAGUUAUGGACUUGAGCUGAAUCGGACUAAGGCGGGCAAGUGUGCAUUCAUAGAACCAAACCACAUCCUUACUUGCAGCGAGAGUGUGUGUUCGAUGUGGGCUCGUGGCAAAUAAAGUUCUUCCACUCUGACACCAUUCCCCGUCUCUGACCGGACGUUAUUACCAGGGGACAGUACCGAAUCACGUUUCAGAGAUAGUGGUCCAGGGCGUCCGCUAUAACAGCUUGUGUGAUGCCAUCAGCCACACAUGGUUACCUGGUUUUGGGUGGUGGCUGUUUCCUGUCUGGGCAAAAGGUGUGGCUGAGGAUUCUGAGAACAAAAUGCCUGCUCAGCAGGACCAACCAUGUGCUUAUCAGGAACAGGGGUGUUUUAGGUUAACUUAUGUUAUUCUGUACUUAGUUAAUAUUAGUGUGAGUUUUUGUUUUCCCCCUAUUGUGUGUAAAUGGUUUGACCAAACCACUGUAAAAGCUACCCUCUUGUGUCUUUGUAAUUAGGUCAUUUUGUGAGUAGUUUUAUGGGCCCGCUAAUUAUGUUUUUGAAUUUUGUCUUUUGAACCUUUUUGAGGGUUAAAAAAAGGAAAACCCUUUUUUGAAGACAUUUUUUUCAUGUGUCCUCUAUGCCUUGGCUGCUUGGUCCCUCACAGAUUGAAAAUUGUGAUUCCUGCAUGAAAUAUGACAAAGUUCCUCAAUCCAAAAUGGCCAACUUCUUCUGCAGUUUGGACAGAACCUGUGUGAUCUAAAUGGUUCAAGAAAGAAGAGACAUGACUACAUAAGGCAAAGGCUUAGGGAAUUUGGGUGCCUGCUGCUUAUACCUCGGAAAAAUAGCCCCAUUCAAAAGGCAGAGGAACUGAUUUAUCCUGUAAACUUCAACUAUUUGAUAUCUGCAGUGAAAGAGUUGGCACAAUCCUGAGAGAAAUACUUUCCAGAGACCUACCUACUUCUACUUGGAUCACCA